rnacentral:sRNA from 1 species
ACCAUCGCGAACUCGUCCAAGUUGCUUCGGCGGCGCGGCACCCCUUAACGGGGGCGCCGCAGCCCUGCCUCUCCGGAGGUUCGGGGCGCCCGCCGGAGGUACGAAACUCUGUAUUAUAGUGGCAUCUCUGAGUAUAAAACAAAUAAGUUAAAACUUUCAACAACGGAUCUCUUGGUUCUGGCAUCGAUGAAGAACGCAGCGAAAUGCGAUAAGUAAUGUGAAUUGCAGAAUUCAGUGAAUCAUCGAAUCUUUGAACGCACAUUGCGCCCGGUAGUACUCUACCGGGCAUGCCUGUUCGAGCGUCAUUUCAACCCUCAAGCCCUGCUUGGUGUUGGGGCCCUACGGCUGCCGUAAGCCCUGAAAGGAAGUGGCGGGCUCGCUACAACUCCGAGCGUAGUAAUUCAUUAUCUCGCUAGGGAGGUUGCGGCGUGCUCCUGCCGUUAAAGACCCAUCUUUAACCAAGGUUGACCUCGGAUCAGGUAGGAAU